GUGGGGGAAGAGAGAUCUUUAGCCAUCAUGAACGACACAGUAACUAUUCAGACCAGAAAAUUCAUGACCAACCGUCUGCUUCCACAGAAACAAAUGGUCAUCGAUGUCCUUCACUCCAGGAAGGCAACAGUACCUAAGACAGAAAUUCGGGGAAAACUAGCCAAAACGUCCAAGACAACACCAGAUGUCAUCUUUGUAUUUGGAUUCAGAACUCAUUUUGGUGGUGGCAAGACAACUGGCUUUGGCAUGAUUUAUGAUUCCUUCGAUUAUGCAAAGAAAAAUGAACCCAAACAUAGACCUGCAAGACAUGGCCUGUAUGAGAAGAAAAAGACCUCAAGGAAGCAGCGAAAGGAACGCAAGAACAGAGUGAAGAAAGUCAGGGGGACUGCAAAAGCCAAUGUUGGUGCUGCCAAAAAGUGAGCUGGAGAUUGGAUAACAGGCAAAGGACUAAAGAUGAUGCAGUGAUGGUAUCUGUGGCCAUUGUUUGGAUUUUUCAUGACCAGCUUAAUAAACCAAAAACUU